rnacentral:rRNA from 1 species
UACGUAGGUGGCAAGCGUUGUCCGGAUUUACUGGGCGUAAGGCGCGCGCAGGCGGAUUGGUCAGUCUGGGGUGAAAUCUCACGGCUCAACCGUGAGCGGUCCCUGGAUACUGCCAGUCUUGAGGUGUCUAGAGGAGAGCGGAAUUCCCGGUGUAGUGGUGGAAUGCGUAGAUAUCGGGAGGAACACCAGUGGCGAAGGCGGCGAUCUGGGUCGAAACUGACGCUGAGGUGCGAAAGCGUGGGGAGCAAACAGG